AGCAGUGUCUUUGUGGCUGCUGCUCCAGCCAACGUCUGCAAGACGUGACGCAAAUGAAGAUGCAAAAAAAAAGAGGCAAAAGAACAUCAAAACGUGACUGGGUUGGGGCCAGCUUUAAGGGUUGUUUUGACACCAGUAAAUGGCAUAUUUACAUUCUACAUAUUUACUACACGUUUGCUACAUCAUGUUGCACAUGCCGAAAACCGAACUGAAAGCGAUGCUCGGCUGUAGAGUUUUUCCCCGCAAUACCGCCUGUCAUUCGAGUGCGCAAAAGAGGUGUCGAAAAGCGGGGGGGGGCUUUAGGUUGUUUCUUCAUUGGACGAUGCCCGGGGAACAUGUGUAUAUCAAGAAGAUUAAUAUCGCUCGCUCUCGCUGUAAUGUUGUAAUGCCAACUGAGUUGUUGAUCUUUUUUUGCAGCACUUUCUGCCCUUGUCUCUCUUUCUCUUUGUAAAUUGUAAAUCCAUGGGAAGAAUGGAAGUACUUAAUGCAGCUGCAAAUCUUGUUUGACACUUGCCACCGGAGGCCGCUGAGAUAUCAGUUGAGAAUAAAUCAACAAAAACAUAAAGCAACAGGCCAGCAGCACUCGCAAAACCGCAGAUUCAGCUCCCAGCUCCCAGCUCCACUUCAACAGGAAGAGAGAGGGAGAGAGAGGUCACUGCAUGCCAGUGACAGUUAACCGGAGCCAGAGCCACCCUUAACCGCAGCCCUUAUGGUAUAAUAAAUAAGAAAUAAAAGCCAACAAAAUGGGCUGCAAACUUUGCAAUGGAAAAUUAUUUGAUGCAAACAACAAAAAAAGGGGGAAAACCGGUCGCAAUUAGCCGCAUUCAAAAUGGCCAUUACAAAAUUAUAUAAGUGCCCAUCAGCAACAGAUGAAUUAUGCAUUAUAUUUGACCCCAGCUUCCGCUCUUGCACAUCCUUUUCAGCAUUGUCUUCUCUUUUUUUGUUUUCAGGUGAGUCUGCGACUGCGGCAAGGGUUUGAAACAAGUUUACAAAGAAGCAAAUAAAUUAAAUGCAUCGAAUUUUGUACAUUAAAUUGAAGCGCUC
rnacentral:lncRNA from 1 species